ensembl:snRNA U6 U6 spliceosomal RNA
AUGCCACUUCAGCAGCAUAUGCACUAAAACUGGAAGGAUACAGUGAAGAUUGGCAGGGCCCCUGCUCCAGGAUGAUACAAAUUGGUGAAUCAUUCCUUACUGAA